GUGGGUUUUGUUCCAUCCCGGACUUAGAUCUUCCAAGACGGCGAUUUCCUUCUGGUCGGGUCUCUUCCCGAGGAUCCGCUUUACUCGUACUAGAAACUCUGACCUCGAAUGCAGUUCCAGAAGCAGAACCCUGUAGGGGGUUUCAGGCGGCCAAGAAGGGAAGUGGUUCUCCUAAGACCGUCCCGGCUUCAGUCCACGGCGCUCACUAAAUGCCUCCCACGCCAGACGAGGUCCCCCGUCCCCGGAGCUCGCGUCCCAGAGGUCCUGCAUUCUGAUGAAAUGACUAUGCUCACUGAUCUGAGGAAUGCCGUGAGAAACUGACGCA
rnacentral:lncRNA from 1 species